rnacentral:rRNA from 1 species
UACGGGGGGGAGCAAGCGUUGUUCGGAUUUACUGGGCGUAAAGGGCGCGUAGGCGGUCAGCACAAGUCAGUUGUGAAAUCUCCGGGCUUAACUCGGAAAGGUCAACUGAUACUGUGCGACUAGAGUGCGGAAGGGGCAACUGGAAUUCUCGGUGUAGCGGUGAAAUGCGUAGAUAUCGAGAGGAACACCUGCGGCGAAGGCGGGUUGCUGGGCCGACACUGACGCUGAGGAGCGAAAGCCAGGGGAGCAAACGGG